rnacentral:lncRNA from 1 species
GCUUCCUCCUCCCGGAGCGGGGGCCCCUGGCCGCGUCUCUCCGCCUUCCCUCCCUAUCCGCGCCCCUAUCCGGCGCGGGCCGCUGCGGAAACGCAGCUCUCCACCCCCAGCUGGCUCUCCCGGACCCCCUGGGCCCCACCCUCAGCGCUCCCCACCGCUCGGCGCCCCUGCGUCUGCGCUCCCCUCUCUCCCCUCUCUAUCCACUGGGUCUGGGCCGCACUUCCCGCCCACCCGCCUGCCAGCGGCCGGGAAGCCUGUGGAAGUUAUGGGGAUGCAGGGAGAGGGGGAGAGGGGAGCUUGUGUGCUAGGGUCUGCAAAGCUCGUCUGCAUCAGACAGGAAUUUUCCCCAGACGCGGGUGCACGUGAAUUAAUUCAUCAGAAGGCGGUUCACGGCCUGAGUGAGGGGGACGAGGGCGGCGAAUUCCUCCGCCUCAUUCCUACCCUGACGAUUCGAGCCUUAGCAAGUUCUGGCCUGUGGAGCCGUCAUCCAGAGCGCACAGCUUCAUGCCCUUGAAGGGCGCAGUGUGUCCCGUGGUGCCCGGUGGGCCCGGACAGAGACCCCAGAGGCUCUGUCUGAAGGAAGCUGCACCCACAGACUCCAUCCAGGCAGCGCGGGCGCGGUCCUGUCGCCUACCUUUCUCGGAAGCCAUCUGCCCAUGUGAAUCUAUGUGAAGGCCCUUCAUGCGCUCCUGGACAUCUGCGUGGGAUUUACUUCAACUGCUAUCGCUGCGAGGAGGACGAGCAUGUUUCACUGUAUUUUUAGCAGAGAGUGCAGAUUUUAGAACCUCGCGAACGGUCCUGUAUCUCCUGCACGAUGACUCUCCAGAACAGGAAUAGUGACCCUUCCUUUGCAUUUAUGGUGCAUAGGUUUUCAAAGGACAGUGUGUAAAUCAGCUUGUGUAAUAAUUGUGGCACCCACGCGCGCAAGCAGACUUACCAUGAGCUGACUUCCACUGAUUAUUUCAGUUUCCAGGGAAACGAGGUUUGCAGCCCCCUCCAGUGAGGGCGGAGCGGCCUCUCCAUUCCCAAUGCAGCAAGGCUGCUGCAGCCACGAUGAUUAGGCUUUGGAGGAGGAAGUGAACGGAUGGGGCCUCAUCCUCCUGCCUCCCUAAAGGAUGCUCGCUUCACCCCACUGAGAUGUAACUCAGUUUUGUGGGAUCCCACUGCCCUCCAGGUGCCGCUCCGAGUGCUCUACACAGAUUUUCAUUCAGUCCUUGCGGCACACGAAGCCUGUUAAUAUGAUGAAUUACACUGAUUCAGUUUCAAAUGUCCAACCAAGCUUGCACUCCAGAGAUGAAGCCCACUUGAUCACAUGGAUUAUUCUUUUAAUAUAUGAUGGAUACGACUUGGCUGUUCUUUUGUUGAGGAUUUUUGUGUUUAUGUUAAUGAGGAUAUUAUUUGUAGUUUUCUUUUCUUGUAAUGUUUUUGUCUUUGUUCAGUGUCAGAGUAAUGCCAACUUCAUAAAGUGAGCUGGGAAGUA